CUGUGCAAAGGUAGCAUAAUCAUUAGCUUUUUAAUUGAAGGCUUGUAUGAAGGGUCUGACAAAGAAAAAGCUGUCUUUAAAAUUAUUUUUGAAUUUAACUUUUAAGUGAAAAGGCUUAAAUAAAUUUAAGGGACGAUAAGACCCUAUAAAUCUUUAUAUUAAAUUAUUAUUCUGAAUUUUAAUAUUUGUUUAGAUUAUUAGUUAUAAUAAUAAAUAUUUUGUUGGGGUGACGAGAAUAUAAAAUUAACUGUUCUUAAAAUAAACAAAGUUAUUUGUUGAAAAAUUUAUAGAUCCUUUUUAAAGAUUAAAAGUUUAAGUUACUUUAGGGAUAACAGCGUUAUUUUUUUUGAGAGUUCUUAUCGAAAAAAAAGUUUGCGACCUCGAUGUUGAAUUAAAAUUUCUCUACGGUGUAGAAGUUGUGGAAGAGAGUCUGUUCGACUUUUGAAAUUUU
rnacentral:rRNA from 1 species